AGCAGGGAUAGAUGAUGGGAUUCAGGCAGCUGUUGAAGUAACCGAGCCAGAAGAUGAUUUUGAAGACGGUUUCGGGAGGCCGCAGGCUGACAUUGAACGCGACUGCAAGGAGAGACAGUACGUCGACAGGUUUCCCUAACACACUGCCAUUGCUUGGAUCAUAGAGGUACGUGAUAUUUGGAGAGAACCAUCCUGGAGAGAGCAAUCUAUCCCAUUCAUCUCAACAUCUGUUUCUCAGCUGGCACAGAACCACCAGAGGUGCCCCUGUCAUGCCUGAUGGGUUUCUGUAUAAAAUGCGGCAAGCCAGCAGGUCUCGGCUGUCGGUCCAUUUCGCCGGCACAAAACCGGGGUCAAGGCUUUCCUCACCCACGACAUUUCUCUCCACAUCUCGCGGUUUUGAACUACAUCCAGCGCCAUGCAAGACAACUUCAUCAAAGCGGCGCGGGGCCUAACGUGUCAUCCCGCUGAUCAAAAACAUACAGUUCCAUUUUCACCCCUCGCAACUGAAGAGGAGAAAAAAAUCUUCAAAGGACAGUCAGCCUCUUUCUAGCGCGCACGUAAGAUGGUUUGUGAUGCUGCCAAUUUCUCUAAUAAUUCUGCUCUGGGGAUGGAGCGAAGAAGAGAGGAAAGGAAGGAUGGACGGGAGGGAGAUGUGCAGAAGAAUGCAACACUUUGGUGCAAAAAAAAGAGGUAGCUGAUAUUCAUUAGGUUCAUCAUUUAGAUAAACAGUGCUUAAUGACACCUGUUUUAAUUGGCCUUGGUGCUUAAUAACGGACCAUUUAAUUUGUUGCAAAGCUAUCUGCUCAUUUCCCCUCAGGGUACACUAACCUCAGAAUGAGAGAUCGAAUAGACAAAAAAGAAGAAGGAAGAAACGGAAGUUUCAGUGAGUAAUUAAAAGAUCCCUUAAGAAGGAGCAUCAUUCAGUUCAAUUUCACAACAUUAAUUGCACAGUAUCAAAGCCAUUCUUUCCACAUUUCCUUCUUUUUCUCUCUGUUUCCGGCUUCCCCAUACUCCUAAAUCUUAUUCUAUCGGAGAAUGCUAAUCAGACCCAUGGGUAUAAAGAAUGGAGUUGAUCACUAUGUGCAGUCAGUAUUUUAGAUGCUUGUCGCAGGAACAUCCGCACAGGAAUCAUCCUGACAUUUUCAUCUACCCUGCAGAGCAGGAACGAGAAAAAAAAAGAAGAAGAAAAAGCCUGAUGGUACUGGAAAAUUUCAAACGAAUGAAUCCAGUCCUUCCUCAAAGAUUAAACUUCAAUGUCGUAACACUCACUGAAAUUUAGACCAACAAAACUUUAAGAUCAUGUGCAAAGUGUCAUGUAUGACAUCUAUUUUCCUAUCGGUAAGAAUAAUCUUCUCACACAACCAAUCAGUGUGUAAGUUAUAUACAGUAUAAUUUCUGCUGUGACAUUUUAGGUGUAUGCCGCACAUCAUGCAUGGCUGCACCUCAGAGAGAAAAUGAUUAUGGCCACCCUGAGGUCAGGAACAAAAGAAAAUUGCAGUGGGUGAUGGACAAGCUCAGCAACGUUACAUGUUAUCCAAAUUCCCCUUUACAUAAAAGAUGGAUGUUACCUACAGUGCUCUUGUGAUUGGAAACAGGGGCAUGCCGAGCUGUCAGAGAACUAAUGACUCAAGCCCGCAAACAAUUUUCCGUACAGUCACUGAAAAAAAAAAACUAGUUUUGAUAGUUCUGAAUAACUUUGAUUUAUUUUCAAAUUAGACUUGACACACUUCAUGCCUGUGAGGGAAAGAAAUUAACCGCAUGUUUUUCUUGUGUCCUCAAACACAGCAAAUACUCACUUCUCUCCUGAAAAGUAGCAGUUUUGGGAACCUGUCAAAUGUCUGAGACAACUGGGUGAGCAAAAAGCGAGCAAGAUUCAAAAGAUUAACAGCAAGAACACUUUCCUGCAGGUGAAAUGAAACACAGUCAUCAAUUCUCUGUAAAUUCCUGAUCAAAGACUGAUGCUGUUUGCAUUGAUGUAUUUUUAUUGUGUGCUUUCUAAGUAUCCAAGUAGUACUCCAUAUCACUUGGGCUAAAGUAAAUUACUUAUGAAACGUAGUCAAAGGGACAUAUUGCUGUGUAGCUCAUUAUACCCGCAUCAGCUUCUAAUAUAGGGAAGUAGAGAUGAAAGUGAAUUUAAGCAAGCACAUGUGACUGUUUGUGCUUUUAGAGAGCAUAUUGCAUUUUAUAUGCAGGAAUUGUUAAGUUCAUGUAAGAACACAGGGCUUAUUUCGGUUUGUGUAUUUGUCUGCCUGACUGGAUGACUGAUCCCCCUUGCCGUAUAUUGAUGUGUUUGUACCUUUAAAUGUUUAGGGGUUGGCAAUAGUGGCUUUCAUGAACACAGCGAUAAUGUAGUUUGUGUUACUUUUGUGUUCUGUACAGUAAAAAUAGUAAUAUUGCCAAAUAUUAUUAAAAGUAUUACAAUUUUAAACAAAUGUUUUCUAUUUGAAUAUAUUUAAAGGUAUAAAAUGAAAUGCAACCCAAAUUUCAGAAAGAUUGGUAUUUUUUUCAAAUUUAAAUAAAAUGAAAGCUUAAAAAAAUUCAAAUCACACAAGCCAUUAUUUUAUUCACAGUAGAACAUACAUAACAUAAAAUUUGUGAUCUUAAAAGUUUGGAAUGGCAAGAGGGUAAACAUUUUAUUUAUUAUUAAUUCAUAAUUAAUGAAUUUUCAUUUUUGGGUGAGCUAUCCGUUUAAAAGUGAAAUAGAUUUAUGUGAUGACAAAGCUGAAUGGAAGCCUCAAGAAUCGCUCUUUGAUGAAUAGAACUUUUAAAAGAACGACAUGUAUAUGAUCAGUUUAAUAUAAUACAUAAAACUUAUUGGUCCCAAACUUAAGAAUUGGAUAUAUAAGUAAUGCCUAUUGUGUGUAGAGACCAUAAGUUUAAUCAUGUCGUCAGUAGGUUGUGUGACUUGAAAAUCAAGGCUGAUAACUGACAGGUUGUACAGUAGAUUGAGCUAUCAUCAUUGUUCCCUAAUAUUAGACACUUAACCCACAUUUUCUCCAGGGGGCUGUCCCUUUAAUAUAUAAAUGUCAGUAAGUGCACAUCCUUCUGACUGACUUUCGAAAAGUCUUUCUUUUUUUCUUCUCCCCAAGGUGACAUUCCUUUAGCUGAAUUACUGAAGGUCAGAGGGAUUGUUCUUUCUCUAUAUGUUACUGGUAAUCAUUUAGAGGUCAUUUUACUAAUGCUAUCUAUCAUGUUACAACAAUAAUGACAUUCUAAUAAUGCUGCAGAUGAAAAAGCCACUCAAACCUCAUCAAGCACCUGAAAAUACCUCCAGUCAGUCAUACAAUUACAUUUUACUGAGAUUAUGUAUUUUUCUGUUUAUAAUAUUAUAUUCUGUCUGUUCAUUUUUUCACUGUUUAAUAA